rnacentral:rRNA from 1 species
UACGAAGGGGGCUAGCGUUGCUCGGAAUCACUGGGCGUAAAGCGCACGUAGGCGGAUUGUUAAGUCAGGGGUGAAAUCCUGGAGCUCAACUCCAGAACUGCCUUUGAUACUGGCGAUCUUGAGUCCGGGAGAGGUGAGUGGAACUGCGAGUGUAGAGGUGAAAUUCGUAGAUAUUCGGAAGAACACCAGUGGCGAAGGCGGCUCACUGGUCCGGUACUGACGCUGAUGUGCGAAAGCGUGGGGAGCAAACAGG